rnacentral:rRNA from 1 species
GACGAACGCUGGCGGCGUGCUUAACACAUGCAAGUCGAACGGAAAGGCCCUGCUUUUGUGGGGUGCUCGAGUGGCGAACGGGUGAGUAACACGUGAGUAACCUGCCCUUGACUUUGGGAUAACUUCAGGAAACUGGGGCUAAUACCGGAUAGGAGCUCCUGCAGCAUGGAGGGGGUUGGAACGUUUCGGCGGUUGGGGAUGGACUCGCGGCUUAUCAGCUUGUUGGUGGGGUAGUGGCUUACCAAGGCUUGGACGGGUAGCCGGCCUGAGAGGGUGACCGGCCACAUUGGUCCUGCGAUACGGCCCAGACUCCUACGGGAGGCAGCAGUGGGGAAUAUUGCACAGUGGGCGGGAGCCUGAUGCAGCAACGCCGCGUGCGGGAUGACGGCCUUCGGGUUGUAAACCGCUUUCGCCUGUGACGAAGCGUGAGUGACGGUAAUGGGUAAAGAAGCACCGGCUAACUACGUG